UUUAUCCUCAAAGAAAAACAAAGUGUUUUAUUUCAAGAAAAAUAAGGAAACAAGGAGUUUACAAAAUUGUAAGAAGGGAAAUCGAAAAUAAUUUGGAAAAGGAGUUUAAAUUAAUAUUUUCAAAUCUUUUAAAGUAUGGAAUAUCUGAAUUUCACUAAAAAAGAAAACCCAAAACCCUUUUUUUAUUUCCUCCUCGCAUACUGCUGUUUGCUAUUCCUCCAUCGCCGUUUUCUCCUCUGCUCAUGCCCUGCUCCUGCAUUUGCUGCCAGCAUCACCAUCAUCGUUGUGCUGUACCAAGUUUGUAGAAGGGAGAUUCUAGCUAGCUCGUUACACUUAAGCUGUUUUCGUACUUCAAAAGCCAAUCUACAGGUUUGCGAAUAAGCAUGCAUGGGGAUAGAUUUUGAAGUACCUUUUUCCCUUUGAAUAUUACAUUGGUUUUGGAUUUUAAUUGAUUACAACGGCUUAACUUAACUUAUUCCUUGUGUUGGAGUUUGGAUUUAAGAAGGGGCCUAUUGAGGUCUCCACAUUGUAUUUGAAGUAUUCGUUUUAAGAC